AUUCCAGCAUCCACAAGCAUAUACAAAAGUUGCUGCGUUUAAAAAGCUCGUAGUUGGGUCUGAUCGUCAAGUCUCGAUAAAUUGUGUUGCGUAUGCACCGAUGAGAUUGGGCGACCUUGUUAUAAAGAACUCUUGCGCUUAAUUGUGUUGAUUGUUCUUGAUAGCAGUUUUACUUUGAAUAAAAUAGAGUGUUCAAAGCAGCCUUUGGGUUUGGAUAUGAUAGCAUGGAAUAAUAGAACAGGACUGUGUCCUAAUCAUGUUGGUCUUUAGAGAUGCGGUAAUGAUUAAAAGGGACAAGCGGGGGCAUUCGUAUUGCUACGUUAGAGGUGAAAUUCUUGGAUCGUAGCAAGACGGACUACUGCGAAAGCAUUUGCCAAGAGUGUUUUCAUCG
rnacentral:rRNA from 1 species